UAAAUAUAUAAAAUAUGGAAAAAUUGUUGAUUGGCUAAGGCUCUUAGCAUGGCCAAGGGUCAAGAAUCGUUUGGAAACGCAAAGUCAAUUAAAUUAGAAUUUAGAAUUUGCUAGACCCCAACUGGAUAUAAAUGCUUUGUCAUUCUGAAAUGCAUUCCUUCUCAAAUUCACGUAUUGAUUGAUUCGUCACCAAGAACUUCGACCACGCCUUUUCCAUGUUCUGUUGGACCAAAUGAAAAAUCGGUCAAAGACAACCACACAGACCAAUAAUAAUGCCCACUCAUAAACUGAUUUCUCGCCGAAUUCAGGAGAGGGAGGAUGAUGAUGAUGAUGAUGAUGGGUGGCUAAUGCCAUACACAUUCAUGCAUACAUCCAUAUAAUAAAGCAAAACUGGCAAACAA